AUUUUCUUAAUCCAUAUCUCACCUCCAUUGACAAAAUCGAUCACCACCCCCGCCAAAUUUAGAUCAUUUCUGUCUUUUUCGACGUUCAGAUCAACUCUCCGCCUACUAUUCUCACUAACACUGUGUCCAUUGUGGUUGAGGACAUACGGUGAAGGCGAGGAUGGAUUUGAGUAAGAAUUUCCCAGAAUCAAAGUCGAUUCCAGCGUCACACACACACAUAUAUAGGAGCCUCCAACUCUCGGAUUCGCGCUGGAGUCCUCUCCGUUCAAUUGUUUCGCCAUCAUCGUUCGACACUCCGUGGUUAGGCUUUGGGGGCUUUUUGCAGGAAUCUCAGACUCGAGUUUCCAGCAAAUUUUCUAAGGUAACAGCUGUAAUCAGGGAGAUUUAGUUGCUUCGCCAUCAUUGUUCGUCCCUGCUGGUGAGUGUCGUUUCUGCAGUGGUGGAGGUCGAUUGUUGUAGCAGUUUUGGAUCUAAUUUUGUGGUGAUUGUGGAGUGAUUUUAGUGUGGGCUUUGUUGGUAGCGGUGAUGAGGUUGCGAUGCCGGUUUUGGCGGUGAUCGUUGUGAUGUUUGGCUGUGGUUGAGCUAUGGUGGGUGGACGUAGUGGUUAGGGUGAGAUGUGGCGGUGGUGGGUUUGGUGGCGACGAUUUUGGUGGUGUUGCAGCUGAUGACUGUGGUGAGGUGGUGGUUACAAGUGUUGAUUUGAUCACAGGUGAUUUGGCUGAUCGUGACCAAUUAAAAAGAUAAGUUGUGACCACGAAAAUAAUGCGUGACCUAAAAAUUUGUUAAUCUUUG
rnacentral:lncRNA from 1 species